GGGACACUGUCAGGCGGGCAGUUUGACUGGGGCGGUCGCCUCCCAAAAGGUAACGGAGGCGCUCAAAGGUUCUCUCAGUACGGUCGGAAAUCGUACGUAGAGGGUAAAGGCAAAAGAGAGCUUGAUUGCAAGACAUACAGGUCGAGCAAGGAUGAAAAUCGGACUUAGUGAUCCGGUGGUUCUGCGUGGAAGGGCCAUCGCUCAACGGAUAAAAGCU
rnacentral:rRNA from 1 species